rnacentral:lncRNA from 1 species
CAUGGACAGCUUUCUAUGUCCUCAAAUAUAGGUCCACAUUGCUAUUUUUAUUAACUCCGUGCUAUUCCACCAGUUUACUUGAUCUUUCUUUGCUAACUGAAAAAAUGAAGAAUUUUGUUAAUAGCGCUCUUUUGUAGUAAUUGCUAUGAUUUCUUUCAGGCCAGCAAGCUGCUACUUCUGUAUUUUGGCAUAUUCUUCUCUAAGCUGUUAGAAACUAUUCAAGUCCUUAAGGCUUUUUAGAACACCCUAAGUAAACUUGAUGCUCAUAUCAGCUAUUAACAGUCAAUUACCAGUGAAAUUUAAAGUCCCGUAAAGAAGAGUAGAAUAAAUUUCAGAAAAAUUCCCUAACUUUCAGAAUCCAAAUGAUAAACAGAAUUUAGACACCUACCUGUAGCUAAAGCUGGGCCUAGGUUCUCUGGACAUAUGAUAUACGGCACCAUCAUGAUUCAUACGAUGUCAGAGGUAAAAGAGACUGAAGUGAAUGGAUUCUUAGUGACCUGUAGCACUAAAACAAAGGAUUUACCAUUCAUACGGUCAGCGUUCCAGAAAAGAGGAGAAAUAGGGUGGAGAUGAAAAAGUAUUCAAAUAAAUAAUGGAAAAUGUCUCAAAUCUGGCAAAAGGCAUAAGUUUAAAGGUUUAAGAAGCUGAAUAAAAUGGGGCAAAGUUUUCAGGCCAGGAAGGGUAACCUGAAAGGACUAGAGGCUUCCACCCCAGUCCAGAAUGGACAUGGUUUGGCUGUGUCCCCACCUAAAAUCUCAUCUUGAAUUGAAAUCCCCAUUAUCCCCACGAUGCCCAUGUGUCAAGAGUGGGCCCAGGUAGAGGUAAUUGGGUUAUGGGGGCAGUUUCUCCCAUGCUGUUCUUGUGAGAGUGAGUGAGUCUCCUCAGAGCUGAUGGUUUUAGAGGUAUGUGGCAUUUCCCCUGCUUGCAUUCACUCUGUCCUCCUGUCCCUGUGAAGAAGGGACCCAUUUCUUCUUUGCAUUCUGCUAUGACUAUAAGUUUCCUGAGGCCUCCCCACCCAUGCUGAACUGUGAGUCAAUUAAACCUUUUUCUUUUAUAAAUUCCCCAGUCAUGGGCAGUUCAUUAUAGUAGUAUGAAAACAGACUACUAUAAGCACCCUGUUCCUGAAAGAUACAGUAGUCUACUUCUAAGGUCUCACUCCCUGAGAGAGAGAGAGAGAGAGAGAGAGAGAGAGAUCAGAGAGGUAGACUAUUUUAUUUCUCCCUAGCUCUGGAACAGUAAUGAAAGGAUUUUGCCAAGGGCAAGAACAAGCCAUAAGAAUAGAGAGCUUGAUGGCCAAAUAGGAACAGCUCUGGAGUGAAGUUCCCAGCGAGAACAAUGCAGAGGGUGAGUGAUCACUGCAUUUCCAAAUGAGUUUUUACUGCCCACAGACCAGGAGAUUUCUGGGCUGAAAAGUGCCAUGAGUUUCCAGCAUAGCCUGGCACAGUGAGUCUCUGCACAAAAAGUCACACAAAUCUGGGAUGCCAUUUCAACCAGCACCUGGAACAUCUGGGAUACAGAGCCACCCAUUCAACUGAAAAAGGGGA